rnacentral:lncRNA from 1 species
UUUCAGAGCACAUUUGGUUAAGUUAUUGACAGAUGGGAAGCCUGUGUGGGCUGACACAAAUGGUUGUCACACGCCAUCUAGUGGCUCUAUGAGAAAGUGUGCUCAUUUCCAGGGAAAGAUUUUUGGAGCCAGCUUGUCUGCUUCGGAAUUUCAGCGCCUGCCAGGAAACCAAUGUACGUUUGUCCAUCUUUAAGGCUUUAAACUGAGAGGGACCACUGAGGACAGUAUGCCAAAUUAUCUUCCAAAAUCUCUGUCCUAAGGAACACCUAGGAAGUAACUAUUCGGGGGAACUGUUUUCUUUCUGGAUCCGGAGCAAAACUGGGAAGUCAUCGGAGAAAGCUUUGCCUGCAACAGUUGUGGUAUAAAACAAGCCUCUACGAGACACACUGUGGGUAUCCCGUGGUCCAUAGUACUAUACGGAAACCACUGAAGAGGGGAAGUGGACAGAGGAUUAAGAGUGUGUACUUUGCCACAAAACUCCCUGGCUUGGAAUCCUGGCUCUGGGACCUUGAAUCAAAAAAUAGGGCCAUCACAGAAUGCCCCUGAAAGAGAAAAAUCUUGAAUCAUCCACCAGAGAUCUACAAGGCAGCUGUACCCCAAAGAGCCUGUGAGUCUCAGAGUCAAGCUGCAUUCUCUGUUUAGCCUCAGAGGAAAAGCCUUGAGCACACACCACUGGUCUGCCAGUUGAAGAGAUGUGGAGCUGGUGUUUGGAUUGAGUCCCUAAGCAAAGUGCCGGAAGCCCAGUUCACCUGACCAUCGGCCAUGUGGAGCCGCUGCCAGCCCUGGGUGUCUGCAGCAGCCCGAUGCAGCCGCCAUGGACCCAGAGCAGCAGGCAGUGGUGAGAGGAGGCGAGGGGGAUGGGGGUGGGGAG